rnacentral:rRNA from 1 species
UACGAAGGGUGCGAGCGUUGUCCGGAAUUAUUGGGCGUAAAGAGCUCGUAGGCGGUGUGUCACGUCGUUCGUGAAAACCUGCAGCUUAACUGUGGGCGUGCGGUCGAUACGGGCAUCACUGGAGUUCGGCAGGGGAGACUGGAAUUCCUGGUGUAGCGGUGAAAUGCGCAGAUAUCGGGAAGAACACCCGUGGCGAAGGCGGCUCUCUGGGACGGUACUGACGCUGAGACGCGAAAGCGUGGGGAGCGAACAGG